AUUGAACGCUGGUGGCAGGCCUAACACAUGCAAGUCGAACGAGUGGCGGACGGGUGAGUAAUGUCUGGGAAACUGCCCGAUGGAGGGGGAUAACUACUGGAAACGGUAGCUAAUACCGCAUACCAUCGGAUGUGCCCAGAUGGGCUUAGCGAGUCGGUGGGGUAACGGCUCACAUAGGCGACGAUCCCUAGCUGGUCUGAGAGGAUGACCAGCGAAACUGGAACUGAGACACGGUCCAGACUCCUACGGGAGGCAGCAGUGGGGAAUAUUGCACAGUGGGCGCAAGCCUGAUGCAGCCAUAACGCGUGUAUGAAGAAGGCCUUCGGGUUGUAAAGUACUUUCAGCGAGGAGGCGUUACUCGCAGAAGAAGCAUCGGCUAACUCCGUGCCAGCAGCCGCGGUAAUAC
rnacentral:rRNA from 1 species